CUGGAGGAAGAUUGGCGCUUCAGCAUUAAGCUCGAGGAGACUUGCGAUGUUCAUACGCUUAUUUUCAUUCUUCAAAGAAUGUGCGGAAGAUGGUAGACAGAACGUACUACACCGAAGGCUGCGAAUUAACUUAUCAGGAGAAACGACAUCUGGUCGGAUUUUGUAGAGAUCUUGAGAAUUACAAUAUCUACAAUCAAACUCCUCAACAUUAUGGUCAAUACGUGCCACUAGUGCACGUGUUGAACUACGGUAACUACCAUGGAGAUACCUUGGUAAGAUUAUUUUUUACUAUUACAACAUCCGUGCAUCUUUUUGCACACUUCUAAAACUAGUACAUCAUUGCUAACUACGAAGUUAUUACUAUGUUUUUCAACAGAUAAUCCCGAAUGAGUGUGUGCCUCAUCUGAUGUAUACGCGUGGUAGCCUUCAUGUUUUGAACAUACUACCAGGUCGUCCUACGAAUCUCAACUGUCCAUACCGGGUUUCUAAAAGAAGUGGAGACAUAACAAUCAAAGAAUGGAAAAAAUGUAUGAACAGUCGUAAGGAGCUUCUUGGAAGCAAUAAGCAGCGAAAGGCAAGAAUUGGAGACAGGAUGA
rnacentral:rRNA from 1 species